GUAGCAAUCCACAUUGUCUUCGUGCAAAACUAAAAGUCCCUAAUAACCGAUAAAGGUGUACGUUAGAUAGAGUAUUUGAUCGUGAAUCCUAACUUUUCCUUUUAUUUUCGUAUAUGUCUGUUUAACUUAUUUUGUUCUAUUUGUUUCCAUGACGCACCGCCCCACGAAAAAGCAAUAAUAACAACAUAAUCAGGAGUAAACAGGUACUAAAUACAAAAGAAAAAGAAAAUGAGAAUGAUAAUGACGAGAAUGAAUGUACGCAUAUUUGAGAACAUUACAGUUAACUUUAAAAACAUUACGGUAAAAAA